AGUCUCCCUAUCCUCGUUCGUUCUAGCAUUUGUGGAGUUUCCAACUCUUCAUUCAAGACUGAAUCCAUCAGUAGAAGAGAGCACACCCGAUUUGAGGCAGGGGCCUGAGAGACUGAAAAUGGUCUUUUCUUUUAAUUGCAUUUUAAAGAACUUCCCAGUUACUUGCAAAAAAUAAAAAUAAAAAUUACUCCGCACCCCCGUGCGUGAGCCCCUUCGGCAAGAUCUUUUGAGGUUUCCCUUUUUGUCAAGAGGAUCAUCGGAACAAGAAUAAUAAAAACCGGAAUCGGUGCCAGAUUCCACACACCCCACGCCGCGCCCUCCCAAACUUCAGCCCCUUAACUAUCCAGGAUAGAUACAGCCCCAACUGCGAAGGUAGAGAAAAGGAAACAUUGGCGGAAAUCCCA